GCUUCCAGCCAUGUUUACAGCACCCCGGGGGCGGGGGGAGAGGGGGCUGGGAAGCGAGCGCCCGCUGCAUUCUGGGAUUUGUAGUUUCCCAUUCUCCCGUCUCUUAGCAACUGCCCACAAACCCAGCCCCCUGGUUUCCUUGCACUGGGCCGCACAGUCUGCACACAGCAGCGCCAGCCAGCUAAGCACAGUUCUCAGGCCAAAACCCGUGUGACUAUUAAAUAGUCUGGUCCCAAACAAUUUCUCAAAUUGGAAUGAAUUAGUCCAAAGGAAGAAAAUAUCCUUUCCCACCGGCAGAAGAAGCUACUGCUGUUAAAACCUUUGAAGCCACCCGCUUGGGGAGAUAUGCAUGUACUAGUUCCAACUGGAUUCUCCAGAGACCAACAGGCAAAGAAAAUACUUUGGAUGUUUUAAACUGACACACGGCCUUCUUCCUGAUACAGCAAAUGAACAGGAAUCCUGGUCCAGGGAGGACCACACUUCUUAUGGGGAAAGGGCUUGGGCUACUGAGGCCUCAUAAGAUUGUGUGCUUGUUCUGAGUUGAAGCUUGUAACCGCAAAAGAAACCACUUGGGUGGAGUGGUGCCUGGUAAGCUUAUUAGAA